GUACACUCCUGCGGGAGGCAGCAGUGGGGAAUAUUGCACAAUGGGCGCAAGCCUGAUGCAGCCAUGCCGCGUGUAUGAAGAAGGCCUUCGGGUUGUAAAGUACUUUCAGCGGGGAGGAAGGCGAUAAGGUUAAUAACCUUGUUGAUUGACGUUACCCGCAGAAGAAGCACCGGCUAACUCCGUGCCAGCAGCCGCGGUAAUACGGAGGGUGCAAGCGUUAAUCGGAAUUACUGGGCGUAAAGCGCACGCAGGCGGUCUGUCAAGUCGGAUGUGAAAUCCCCGGGCUCAACCUGGGAACUGCAUUCGAAACUGGCAGGCUAGAGUCUUGUAGAGGGGGGUAGAAUUCCAGGUGUAGCGGUGAAAUGCGUAGAGAUCUGGAGGAAUACCGGUGGCGAAGGCGGCCCCCUGGACAAAGACUGACGCUCAGGUGCGAAAGCGUGGGGAGCAAACAGGAUUAGAUACCCUUGUAGUCCCAUG
rnacentral:rRNA from 1 species